rnacentral:snRNA from 1 species
AGUAUGAUGGCGGUUGAG